rnacentral:rRNA from 1 species
UACGGAGGAUCCGAGCGUUAACCGGAAUUAUUGGGUUUAAAGGGCGCGUAGGCGGACUGAUAAGUCAGCUGUGAAAGUUUACGGCUCAACCGUGAAAUUGCAGUUGAUACUGUUGGGCUUGAGUAUACAUGAGGUAGGCAGAAUUUGCGGUGUAGCGGUGAAAUGCUUAGAUAUCACGAAGAACUCCAGUGGCGAAGGCAGCUCACUGGGGUAUAACUGACGCUGAUGCACGAAGGUGUGGGUAUCAAACAGG